CGCUAUCAUCAUUAUUUUCAUUAUUACCUUCAUUAUCUGUAAGAUAAUUUCUGAACACUUCGACCGGCUUCUGGCCGGUUUUUUAU
rnacentral:other from 1 species